GGUCACGUGGUGUAGUUGGUUAGCACGUCGGAUUCUGAAAAUUCUCAUAAUUCCGGAGACCGGGGUUCGAAUCCCUGCGAGACCU
rfam:Pseudomassariella vexata strain CBS 129021 BCR38scaffold_20, whole genome shotgun sequence.